rnacentral:lncRNA from 10 species
UGGAGAGAGGGAGCCCAGAGGAGUCCCAAGCAUGCCUGGUGGUCUGCGACGGUGUCCAGGAGGAGGCCCAUGACAGUGUCCUUGUAAGAGACAGAAGAGGAGAAGACACAGAGGGAGGCCACGUGAGGAUGGAGGAAGAAUGAGAGGGACAGGACCACAAGCUAAGGAACCGGGGCCCCCAGGAGCUGGGAGAGGCAGGAAAGAUCCCCCUGAGCCCUCAGAGGAGCCUGGCUCUGCCGACACCCUGAUUUCGGACC